rnacentral:SRP_RNA from 1 species
GCCAGGCAUGGUGGUGCACGCCUGUAAUCCCAGCUACUCAGGAGGCUGAGGCAGAAGAAUCGCUUGAGCCUGGGAGGCAGAGGCUGCAGUGAGCCAAGAUCAUGCCACUGCACUCCAGCCUGGGCUACAGAGCAAGAUUCCGUCUCAA